GAUGAACGCUAGCUACAGGCUUAACACAUGCAAGUCGAGGGGCAGCAUGAUCGAAGCUUGCUUUGAUUGAUGGCGACCGGCGCACGGGUGAGUAACGCGUAUCCAACCUUCCCUAUAGUAGAGAAUAGCCCGGCGAAAGUCGGAUUAAUGCCCUAUGUUCUCCUUUGCGGGCAUCUAACGAGGAGCAAAGAUUCAUCGGUAAGGGAUGGGGAUGCGUCUGAUUAGCCAGUUGGCGGGGUAACGGCCCACCAAGGCGACGAUCAGUAGGGGUUCUGAGAGGAAGGUCCCCCACAUUGGUACUGAGACACGGACCAAACUCC
rnacentral:rRNA from 1 species